rnacentral:rRNA from 13 species
GCACGCCCGUUCUUCGUUGGUGGAGUGAUUUGUCUGCUUAAUUCCGUUAACGAACGCGACCGCCGCCUGCUAAAUAG